ncrna:unclassified sequences skipping-rope RNA
UGAAAUCUGAGGACGGAACAGGCAGCCGUCACGCCCUUUGUGGUCUUAAAGAGAUGUGGGAUUGUCACCCCACCUAUUUCA